GACGAACGCUGGCGGCGUGCCUAACACAUGCAAGUCGAGCGAAAAGACCCGGAUCUUGCUCCUCUGACGUUAGCGGCGGACGGGUGAGGAACAUGUGGUUCACCUACCUAUAAGACUGGGAUAACUUCGGGAAACCGGAGCUAAUACGGAAUAAUAUAUUGAUCCGGAUGGUUCAAUAGUGAAAGACGGUUUUGCUGUCACUUAUACAUGGCUCCGCGCCGCUUGAGUUGGUUGGUACGGUAACGGCUUACCAAGGCAACGAUGCGUAGCCGACCUGAGAGGGUGAUCGGCCACACUGGAACUGAGACGCGGUACAGACUCCUACGGGAGGCAGCGGUAGGGAAUCUUCCGCGAUGGGCGAAAGCCUGACGGAGCGACGCCGCGUGAGUGCUGAAGGUCUUCGGAUCGGAAAACUCUGUUAGUAGGGGAGAACGAAUGUGUAAGGAGCGAUGCACGUCUUGACGGUACCUGAUCAGGAAGCCACGGCUAACUACGUG
rnacentral:rRNA from 1 species